rnacentral:snoRNA from 1 species
AGCAAAUGUGUGCAUGUUUGUUUAAUUUGUGGACAGAAACUUAUAGGUGGGUGCAAAAAGAUCCUCUUUUGCAAACUCAGAACUCAAUGUUCAGUGUCAGUUUUGAUAAAUAAAGGAAGAAAUAUA